CGCCCCUUCUUGGUCAUUUAGAGGAAGUAAGCAUAUCAAUAAGCGGAGGCAACCUUGGUCAUUUAGAGGAAGUAAGCAUAUCAAUAAGCGGAGGAGGACUUGGUCAUUUAGAGGAAGUAAUGCAUAUCAAUAAGCGGAGGAAGUCUUGUCAUUUAGAGGAAGUAAAAGUCGUAACAAGGUUUCCGUAGGUGAACCUCGGAAGGAUCAUUAUUGAAUACGAAUCGGUUCUGAUGCUGGCCCUUCACGGGCAUGUGCUCGCUCCGAAUCCAUUUAUCUUCUCUUGUGCACCUCUUGAGUCUUUGAAAGAAGUGAACCUCUCGCAGCAAUGCGGUCUGGGGGGACUGGUCAAACCUUCCCCUGCUUGCUUUCUUCUUGGCUAUGUUUUCAUAUACCUAUAAAGUUACAGAAUGUCUUUUUUUAACGAUUGUCGCUCGCGCGCAGCAUUAAACCUAUACAACUUUCAGCAACGGAUCUCUUGGCUCUCCCAUCGUGAAGAACGCAGCGAAAUGCGAUAAGUAAUGUGAAUUGCAGAAUUCAGUAAUCAUCGAAUCUUUGAACGCACCUUGCGCCCUUUGGUAUUCCGAAGGGAUGCCUGUUUGAGUGUCAUUAAAUUCUCAACCUUGCUCGCCUUUACCGGUUGAGUGGGGCUUGGACGUGAGGGCUUUGCUGGCUUCCUUAAGUGGAUGUCUGCUCCCUUUAAAUGCAUUAGUGGGAUCUCUUGUGGACCGUCACUUGUGUGAUAAUUAUCUACGCCUCGUCGACUUUGAAGCAAACUUAUGGGAACUGCUUAUAACCGUCUCGCAAGGGACAACUUUCUGACAUUUUGACCUCAAUCAGUAGGACUACCCGCUGAACUUAAGCAUAUCAAUAAGCGGAGG
rnacentral:rRNA from 1 species